rnacentral:rRNA from 1 species
GACGAACGCUGGCGGCGUGCUUAACACAUGCAAGUCGAACGGAAAGGCCCUGCUUUUGUGGGGUGCUCGAGUGGCGAACGGGUGAGUAACACGUGAGUAACCUGCCCUUGACUUUGGGAUAACUUCAGGAAACUGGGGCUAAUACCGGAUAGGAGCUCCUGCUGCAUGGUGGGGGUUGGAAAGUUUCGGCGGUUGGGGAUGGACUCGCGGCUUAUCAGCUUGUUGGUGGGGUAGUGGCUUACCAAGGCUUUGACGGGUAGCCGGCCUGAGAGGGUGACCGGCCACAUUGGGACUGAGAUACGGCCCAGACUCCGACGGGAGGCAGCAGUGGGGAAUAUUGCACAAUGGGCGGAAGCCUGAUGCAGCAACGCCGCGUGCGGGAUGACGGCCUUCGGGUUGUAAACCGCUUUCGCCUGUGACGAAGCGUGAGUGACGGUAAUGGGUAAAGAAGAACCGGCUAACUACGUG